CAACUCCUGUUAUAACAUACAAAACCUAAUCUAAACUUCAAAAUUAUUACAACCAGUAAGUAAACAAACUGAUUUCACAUAAAAAAGAUAUCGGGUCGCUAUACUUUAUAGCCCUUCAUCUGAAGACAUUGUUAUGUGAACAAAGAUUGACUACUCUUGUCUGAAACUCUGAACGAAUAGUGAGAUUUGAAUAUCACCAUUAUUAAUGCGCACCCAUGGUCUCAAAGUGCGGGAAAGGGUCGCGAACCAUGAACCCUCGAAUUCACAAUCCAAGAUGGGACAACAUUAGGUCACGUCCGUACGCCAUCGAUACAGAACAGAACAAAAAUAAAUGGUGAAAACUGGUAAGAAACCCUCAAAAUACACGUUUGUCAACAACAAAAAGUUAUGAAUUAGAAUAACUGUGGGCCCACAAAAAAACACUUAAACGAAGCAUUCUUUUUUAGCUAUAGAAACGGAGUCAUCACCAAAGCUAAUAUAAGAAGGCUAGUUUCUUUUCUGGAUAGGUGUCUACGGUCAACAGACAUAAAGCAAUCAAUCACACACCCCCGCCCCCCAUAGUAUGGAAGAUUAAAAUGAAAAAAGAACAAAUUUCGAAAAUGAGUUAACUUUCUAGAAUAUUUCAUAGAAACUAUAUUUCUUUCUUUCUCUUUAAUAGCAUCAACGGUUAGGGUUAAUAAUGAUUUUGAUAAUGUAAAUCAACAAUAUACGUGAAAACCACAUCCGAUAUAAAGUUGCAGUGGAACGGUAUGUAUCAAAACUAUAUUUUGACAUUGUUUUGUGGUAUUAAAAUUGACCACUUUUAGGAAGGACGUGUAACAGCUCUUUCCGACGCAAAAUAUUUACACACUCAGGUGAAAAAGGCGUGUUAAAUCGGGGAUUUGGAAUUCCAAAACUGGGGCAUACUUUGUACUCAAUGGCAUUGAAAAAAAAAGGAAUCUGGAUCAACAUCGAACACCAUGACCAAGUUGUACUCCAGUCGUGGUAAACAAAAUAUGACGUCUUGUAACAGGUGAGGAUCCAAGAAUACGAAGGUCAUUGGCCAAAGCCGUCCACGUGUCCCAGGCAUACCUCAAACGUACAACAGCUAUUCAUCCAAACCGUAAAAGUUGUUCAUGCAAUUAAUAAUAUAAAUAGCGGCCUGAUAAGCCCUGCUAUUGGGCGAAGCCUCAACAUGAUAAGUAUAACAUUCUUCUUUGCUUUCACUCAUAAGUUAUUAGAAUUCCAUAUGCCAGACAGAGCAUAACCAGACUGGAGACAUGGUAAAGCUUGAAAAUUCUUCUGAUACAACUAACCCAAUCUCUGUAUAAUUGAAAA